UCAAUCAGCGCCUUAUCCUGG
rnacentral:misc_RNA from 1 species